rnacentral:rRNA from 1 species
UUGGAGGGCAAGUCUGGUGCCAGCAGCCGCGGUAAUUCCAGCUCCAAUAGCGUAUAUUAAAGUUGUUGCAGUUAAAAAGCUCGUAGUUGAACUUCGGGGUUUACCCAUUGGUCAGGCUUAAUUGUCUGUACUGGUGAGAUAAAUCUCUACCUUCUGAGGAACUUUCAUGCCGUUUAGUUGGUGUGAUAGGAAAUCAGGACUGUUACUUUGAAAAAAUUAGAGUGUUUAAAGCAGGCUAACGUCUGAAUACAUUAGCAUGGAAUAAUGAAAUAGGACGGAUUGGUUCUAUUUCGUUGGUUUCUAGGAUCACCGUAAUGAUUAAUAGGGAUAGUUGGGGGCAUUAGUAUUCAAUCGUCAGAGGUGAAAUUCUUGGAUUUAUUGAAGACUAACUAUUGCGAAAGCAUUUGCCAAGGAUGUUUUCAUUAAUCAAGAACGAAAGUUAGGGGAUCGAAGACGAUCAGAUACCGUCGUAGUCUUAACCAUAAACUAUGCCGACUAGGGAUCGGACGAAGUUAAUUUUAUAAUGACGCGUUCGGCGCCUUACGGGAAAC